rnacentral:rRNA from 1 species
UACGUAGGGGCUAGCGUUGUCCGGAAUCAUUGGGCGUAAAGAGCGCGUAGGCGGCCAGAUAAGUCCGGUGUGAAAGUCAAAGGCUCAACCUUUGAAUGCCGCUGGAAACUGUCUGGCUAGAGUCCGGGAGGGGCGAGUGGAAUUCCUGGUGUAGCGGUGAAAUGCGCAGAUAUCAGGAGGAACACCGGUGGCGAAGGCGGGUCUCUGGGCCGAAAAUUGACGCUGGAGGAGCGAAAGCGUGGGGAGCAAACAGG